rnacentral:rRNA from 1 species
UACGGGGGGGGGCAAGCGUUUGUUCGGAAUUACUGGGCGUAAAGGGCUCGUAGGUGGCCAACUAAGUCAGACGUGAAAUCCCUCGGCUUAACCGGGGAACUGCGUCUGAUACUGGAUGGCUUGAAUUCGGGAGAGGGAUGCGGAAUUCCAGGUGUAGCGGUGAAAUGCGUAGAUAUCUGGAGGAACACCGGUGGCGAAGGCGGCAUCCUGGACCGAGAUUGACGCUGAUGCGCGAAAGCCAGGGGAGCAAACGGG